rnacentral:rRNA from 1 species
AGCGUUGCUCGGAAUCACUGGGCGUAAAGCGCACGUAGGCGGCUUUCUAAGUCAGGGGUGAAAUCCUGGAGCUCAACUCCAGAACUGCCUUUGAUACUGGAGAGCUUGAGUCCGGAAGAGGUGAGUGGAACUCCGAGUGUAGAGGUGAAAUUCGUAGAUAUUCGGAAGAACACCAGUGGCGAAGGCGGCUCACUGGUCCGGUACUGACGCUGAUGUGCGAAAGCGUGGGGAGCAAACAGG